UUGAGUACUUCAAACUGAGUGAACCUUAAUGAUUUCUCUGAUAUCACUGCAGGGGAUUGAUCAUCUAUAACCUUCCUACUUUCAUGAAUUCACAAGGCAUGCUAGACUUAGGGAUGUUAAAAGUGCUACUACAUAUAUGAUUUGAUAUAUGACUCUUAGGAUUAGAACCUGUAGCGGAUGAUAGAAAAAAAGGAGAAUCCAACUGUUUGCCAUUGCUUUGUGGUCUUGAUGGAACCUGCCUUUCACCUGUUCUUUGCCCUUCAGAGUAUAAAAUUUUUUAAAGCAAUCAGAAGAAAAGUUAAGCAAAUCUUCCAUAUUUAGGGGUAUUCUUAUAUCACGAGUGGGAAUAAUGCGACCCUUCAGAUUUGUUGACCAUCAUCGCCAGUGAUGAGCAAUUCUGGGAGCUGUUGUCUAAGAACAGGAGAGCCAUACAAUUUCCACCCCUGUGUUAUAGCAAGCAAAAAGUACAUGUUAUAAACAAAGAAACAAGCACUGUUUAAGAAUGAACGGGCCUUCAAGCAAGCAUGGUAGGUUGAACUGGAGCAGCCAUAUCUAGCAACAGGGGUGUUCUUGUGGGGGAAAAUCUUGGGCCACCACAUUUUUGCGUUUGUGGGUGUAGAAUCAGACCCCUCUCUGAGUGCCAUGAACUGCAUUCCAAAUUGACUAUGAUACUAAACAGAGAAAUGUCUUCUUAUGGAUUUAACUUCCGACAAUGUUGUUACUUACUUCUCAGCAUUCCUUCAUUCCUGACCUUGGACUGGAAUACUUUAUGACACGGAUUUACUUCUUGCUGGCAUUGCUUAUCUGGACCACUGCCUUCUGAUCUUGUUGAUGACCACCAUCUUGCUUCU